UACGGAGGGGGCGAGCGUUAUUCGGAAUCAUUGGGCGUAAAGGGCGCGUAGGCGGCCCCGUAAGUCUUGGGUGAAAGCCCUCGGCUCAACCGAGGAAUUGCCUUGGAUACUGCGGGGCUCGAGGCUGGAAGAGGGUAGCGGAAUUCCCGGUGUAGCGGUGAAAUGCGUAGAUAUUGGGAGGAACACCAGUGGCGAAGGCGGCUACCUGGACCGGUUCUGACGCUGAUGCGCGAAAGCGUGGGUAGCAAACAGG
rnacentral:rRNA from 1 species